rnacentral:rRNA from 1 species
GAUGAACGCUGGCGGCGUGCCUAAUACAUGCAAGUCGAGCGAACAGACCAGGAGCUUGCUCCUCUGACGUUAGCGGCGGACGGGUGAGUAACACGUGGAUAACCUACCUAUAAGACUUGGAUAACUUCGGGAAACCGGAGCUAAUACCGGAUAAUAUAUUGAACCGCAUGGUUCAAUAGUGAAAGACGGUUUUGCUGUCACUUAUAGAUGGAUCCGCGCCGCAUUAGCUAGUUGGUAAGGUAACGGCUUACCAAGGCAACGACGCGUAGCCGACCUGAGCGGGAGAACGGACAGCCGGGCACAGAGACACGGUCGAGACUCCUACAGGAGGAAGCAGUAGGGAAUCUUCCGCGAUGGGGGAAAGCCUGACGGAGCAACGCCGGGUGAGUCAUGAAGGACUUAGGAUCGUAAAACUCUGUUAUUAGGGAAGAACAAAUGUGUAAGUAACUAUGAACGUAUUGACGGUACCUAAUCAGAAAGCCACGGCUAACUACGUG